UCCCGGACACAGCGCCUUCUCGUUGUGGGUGCUCAGCCAGAACACGGCCCACCCCACCCAUCCUGUCUCAGGGAGGCCAUUUCUCACAGUUGGGGAGAUUUACCAAAUUAAGUGUGCAGCACCACCCAGCAGACCAACAGCCAAGCAGGGGUGCUUCUCCAGGUACCUGGCAUGGGGGCUGGAGGAGACCGCCCACGGCCGCAGUGCGCACACUCACUCAGCGAUCGGGGCCGAUGCCAAGCAUCAGAACCAAGAUGUCCUCUGUCCCCCACCAAGUGCCCUAGUCCCUCACCCAGUCCCAUACCAAGGGCCCCCCAGGCAGCUUGAAAAUUAAAAUCUCUCUGCCCUGGGCAGGCGACGGCUGACUGAAGGACAGCAUCGCCACCACGUACGUUUCCCAUUUAAGUCAAUUUGGAAAUGCUGAGUGCUUUCUCUCAGGGCAGGCGGCCGAGAGAAGAGGACACGGCACACAUUAGUGUCCCUCUUUCCCGGUGAUGUGGGUCUUAAUCCUCCUGUUACUGCUGUAGCCCUCACGGACCUGGCGUAACCGCAGACUUAAAGACAUGCUGUGUGUUUAUGAAGCUCUCCGUGUGCAGCGAUGUCCCAGCAGCUCCGCCCAUAAGUAAAGCAGAUGUCCACCCGC